rnacentral:rRNA from 1 species
CUUAGUGGCGGACGGGUGAGUAACGCGUGGGUAACCUGCCUUGCACUGGGGGAUAACACUUAGAAAUAGGUGCUAAUACCGCAUAAGCGCACGGUCCCGCAUGGGACAGUGUGAAAAACUCCGGUGGUGCAAGAUGGACCCGCGUCUGAUUAGCUGGUUGGCGGGGUAAAGGCCCACCAAGGCGACGAUCAGUAGCCGGCCUGAGAGGGUGGACGGCCACAUUGGGACUGAGACACGGCCCAAACUCCUACGGGAGGCAGCAG